UACGGAGGGUGCAAGCGUUGCCCGGAAUCAUUGGGCGUAAAGCGCACGUAGGCGGCCUGUUAAGUCGGGUGUGAAAGCCCUGGGCUCAACCCAGGAAGUGCACUCGAAACUGGGAGGCUUGAAUAUGGAAGAGGGUCGCGGAAUUCCCGGUGUAGAGGUGAAAUUCGUAGAUAUCGGGAGGAACACCAGUGGCGAAGGCGGCGACCUGGGCCAAUAUUGACGCUGAGGUGCGAAAGCGUGGGGAGCAAACGGG
rnacentral:rRNA from 1 species